UACAGGGCUUUGCAGUAACCUGGAGAG
rnacentral:piRNA from 1 species